CUUAUAAGUACUCAGCAUGCACAAGAUUUUACUUUUGAACAGGCGUUGAUAUCAUGUUUACAAGAUCGUCGCCCAUUAUGGGAUUACAAGAUGCCUGUAAAUCAAAGAUCUAAAGGAAUAAAAAAUAAACUAUGGUCUGAAAUUCAUAAAGAAUUGAACUGUAAUUAUUUUAUAUAUUUUAAUCAAAAGUCAUAAGUUAUAGUUUCUGUUAAUAAUUUAGACAAAUAUGAUAUAAAAACAUUAGAAAAUAAAUGGAAAUAUUUAAAAGAAGAAUAUACAAGGCGAAAAAAUUCUAAAAAAAGUGGUUCUGGUUCAUCAAAAGAGUGGCAUCAUAUGAGACAACUGCGAUUUCUUGAUGAUAUUGUUACCUAUAAACCAACUACAAGUAAUAUUAAUGAACAUAGUGUUACUGCUUUGGAAUCUGAUAGUCCUGAUGUACAGAAACAAUUAAGAAAAGAAGCUCUCAAGAUAAUAUUGCUAUAUUAUUAAAUUAAUUAAAAUCUACUAGACCAAAAACUCCACCACCACCCCCAGCCACAACAAGUGAUGAAAAAUGUUGUAAUUAUUUAUGUAGUAUUAUGGAACAUCUUCCAAAAGCUAAGAAACUUAAAUUACAGGCAAAAUUUAUAAGGCGAGUUUUCAUAUUAUUUAAAAUAGAU